UACGGGGGGAGCAAGCGUUGUUCGGAUUUACUGGGCGUAAAGGGCGCGUAGGCGGCCGUGCCAAGUCACUUGUGAAAUCUCCGGGCUUAACUCGGAAAGGUCAAGUGAUACUGUCGGACUAGAGUACAGAAGGGGCAACUGGAAUUCUCGGUGUAGCGGUGAAAUGCGUAGAUAUCGAGAGGAACACCUGCGGCGAAGGCGGGUUGCUGGGCUGAUACUGACGCUGAGGCGCGAAAGCUAGGGGAGCGAACGGG
rnacentral:rRNA from 1 species